ACUGGAGACUCCUUCCAUAAACAUGUCUUUAAAGUCUAAGUGAAAUUGUAAGGAAUAAAAAAUUUACAAUUAAAUAUGUUUGAUAUUUAUUUUCUGUCACAUCAGAUCUGCUUUAAUCACCGUGUCUGAAGUUCCAGUUCCUCCCAAAGUCCAGGAGAACUUUCAGGACAAUGCAGGCUGUAGGGAACUUGUUUCUGUCGGUGAGCCUGAGACCCAUCAGAAGGCUCCAGCAUCACAGGAAAAUAGGGAAUGUGGUUCCAGGACCCAGAGUCUCCAGGAGCUCCGUAUGGGCCAGACACGGUGUGGUGCAUCGACACUGUGAGCAGUGAAGUACGAGAACUGUACGCCUAUGAAAACCUGGAGCAGCUCGCCCGUGGUUACCCCACCAAGGUCCUGCUUUUACCAGAGUCGAUGGGGAGCCCCGGGGCCACCGUGUACCACAGAUCGCUUUACUACCGACGCAGACAGAGCUGCGUUAUGAUCUUGCCACCGAGAACAUCGUGGCCUGGAUUCCCAGGACACCCAGGAUUCCACAGCCAGUAUCCUUAUUCCUGGGGUGGCUACACCGACAUCGGAGCCUCGUGGAGCCGUCAUUAUCUCACAGCUGGAUCCUGAACACCUGAGAGUGAUCAGAAGCUGGGAGACAAACAUCCAGAAGAACAAAGUGGCGAACGCUUUCAUGGUAUACUGAGAAUUAUGAUUGGAUGAAGGGGUGGAGUUUAGAGCUGCAGAUCGGUGUGAGAGUUUAGUUAACGAUGUGACUGGGAGGAAUUCAUGGACCAGUUGGGACUUACCUCGGACGUGCUUUGGAGUAUCGUUGCUAUGGCGAUAAAGGAUCGGUUCGGUAGAGGAGGGACUACAGAAAGAUCUACAGCUUCAGAGGAGGGAAUUUGGUGUUCCAGCCGCCUGGGAAGCCGUUCAGAAUGAUGGAGGGAAAGAGAUCAGACUCACCAGAACCCAGCUGUGUGUCCAUGAAGACUGACAAGUCAAUAGAACGUCCAUUUAACUUCAGAGACAGAGACAGUUCUACUGAUGUGAGACCACAAAAAUCAAACAUCAGCACAAAUCAGCUGGACUCUAUAUUCAAGG